rnacentral:rRNA from 3 species
AGCUAUAUAUUAAAGAGAUUUAUUUAUAUAAAUAGGUUUGCUAGCUGAUUGUGUAUAUACGCAGGCCAAUGCUUCUAAUUUCAUAGCAAGCUUGCUUGCUAUGAAAUAGGCAACCAGUAAUAUAAGCAAGUGUGUGCUAUUUAUAGCGCUAGCCUACAAACCUAUAAUUAUAUUAACUCUAAGAGAAAUUUAAUAAUAAACGAAGUGAAUUGAAAUAUCUUAGUAACUUUAGGAAAAGAAAUCAAAAGAGAUUCUAUGAUUAGCGUGAGCUAAAAUAGACUAGCCUAAAAAGUCAAAUGGUGGAUAAACUGUUUAAAUUAAAUGGGGAACCUUCCUCAAAGGCUAAAUAUAAUGUAUAAGCGAUAGUGGAAAGUACCGUGAGGGAACCAAAACAAAAACAGUGAUUUUAUAAGCAGUUCGGGAAAAUAAAAAAAAGUUAGAACGUACCUUUUGCAUAAUGGGUCACCAAGUUAACAUUAGAUGCGAGUAGGAGGCUUUGCCCAUACAUACGUAGUUAAACCGAGCGUUAAAAUAACGGUAAGUAUCUAAAGUUAGACCCGAAGCCUGGUGAUUUUACCAUAAUCAGGAUUAUAAAAGUCCGAACGGAAUAUUGUAGCAUAAAUAUCCGAAGAAUUAUGGUAGGUGUAGUGAAAGACAAUACUGACCAGGAUAGCUGGUUUUCUGCGAAACCUAUAACAGUAGGCAAUUUAAGUAUAAUAUCUUAGCAGGUACAGAAUUUAAUCUCAGACAAGACAUAAGGCUUAGCUUGCUAGCAAGUAAAGCUCAUGUUUUAUUUUGUACAAAUUGGGGGAUCAUGAAGAUUUUAUCAGUGAGUAUGUAGACUCGGAAUGGCAAAGAUAUAUCUUAAAUCAUCAGACAUAGAAUGAUAAGGUUGUAUGUCAAAAGGGAAACAGCCCAGAACAAGAGUUAAGGUUCCUAAAUUAUUAGUUGAGUGAAAUUAAGAAGGUUUUUAUUAAAGUCGACAAGGAGAUAGGCUUAGAAGCAGCCAUAAUUUUAUGACCUCGUAACAGAGCGCUUGUUAAGUUUUAAAAGCAUCGAAAAUUUAUCGGAUCUAAACAAUAUACCGAAACCUUGUCCAUAUUAUUUUAUAAUUAAAGCUUAAUUAUAAUUAAAUGGGGUAGCAGAACGUUGAGCUAAAUUAAGAUUUUUAUUUUUUAAAUGAAAUUAUAAUAAUUUAACUCAAGUGAUAAUGGUGACAUGAGUAACUAAAAGAAAAAAUAAAAUUUUUCCGCCUAAAGCUUAUGGAUGUAAUUAAGUAACGGCCUCUAAGUUUAUAUUAUCUAAAGAUUUAAACGAUGAGAUAAUCUUUUGUACUAAGGACGACAUUUUAAGUGAAAAAUGUACUGGAAAAAUAGUACUAAAUUAAUGGGUAUAGCUAAUUAGUUAGCUAUAGCUAUAAAUGAAAAGUAACCGUACCUAGAAUCUGAAACAAGUAAGCUAGUAGAGAAUACGAAGGCGUAAAUGAGCUAACAAUCAUAAAGGAACUCGGCAAAUUGACUACCGUAACUUCGGGAUAAGGAGAGCUCAUUAUUCUUGAUUAAUAUCAGGUAAAGAGGAAGAAGCAUGAAAUAGUGUUGUACGACUGUUUAAUUAAAACACAGCACUUUGCUGAAAGAUUAAAAAUCUAAGUAUAGAGUGUGAUGUCUGCCCGGUGCCGGCUGGUUAACAGAUAUAAUUAAAUAUACUAAUAUUUGAUGUAGACGGAAACCCCGGUUAAAGGCGGCCUUAACGUGAGGGUCCUAAGGUAGCGAAAUGCCUUGGCCGUUAAAUGCGGUCUUGCAUGAAUGAUGUAACGAUACAACAGCUGUCUCUAUGAUUGACUCAGUGAAAUUGGAAUAGCUGUGCAGAUACAGUUUACCUCUAGUUAGACGAGAAGACCCUAUGCAGCUUUACUGUCACUAAUUAUAGAGUAUGAUAAACAAUUUUCAGAUUAUAAGGUAAUUGACGGCUAGCUUGUUCAGCAAGCUAGCUCUAUGACAAUGAGAAUCCUUUAUUUUUUUUUCAUAUGAAUGAAUUGGUUUAGGAUUAUGAGUAGGUAGCGGCUUCUGCUACUUGGCGUAAGCAUUGCUUGCGUCAGGUGUCUGAAGUAUGCAUUCCAGCUCAUGCAUAGUAAAUCAACCUAAUUCAGCUUAUUUUCCUUUCUGCCAUAAGCGCAUAAUGAUAGAUUUAACUUAAAUUUUGAUUUAUGCCGAGCCCCUCCGGGGCUACUGCAGAAAUAGAUAAGUACCCUUGGCUAAGGAACUAUCGCUAGGGGACAGUUUAUGUGGGGCACAGACCCUGUAAAGAGUAAACAGGAGUGUCUAAUAAUUUAUAAUUAUUUUGUUUGCGAUUUAAGAUAGUGAAACUAUUUUUAAUCAUAUAAAAUUAUUUAUAUGUACAUUCGUUGUAUAUAUAUUUAAAAAAAGGUAGGAUUUUCACUAUAUAGAAAUUAGAGAUAAUAAAAAUAUUAAGAAUAUACGUUUCAGGCUGGGAGGGGGAAGCUCCUCCCUUUGAAAGGUAGCACUAAUAUUUUUUAGCUAUUAAGACAGGCUAUCAAGCUAGGCUCUAAUAGUUAUGUAUUAAUUAUCUAAAAAGCUCAACGGCUAAAUCUUGCCUUACUGUUUGAUUAUCAACAAAUCUUACAGUUGCGUAAGCAGGGCAUAGGAUCACAAGAUGCAACAAGGAAAGAUCUUGGAUUAUUGGAAAAGCUACGCUAGGGAUAACAGGCUAAUUUGCGCAAGAGUGUACAAAAUGAGUGCGCGGUUUGGCACCUCGAUGUCGGCUUAACUUAUCCUCAUGGAUGCAGGAACUAUGUAGGGUGCGACUGUUCGUCGAUUAAAAAGUUACAUGAGCUGGGUUAAAUACGUCGUGAGACAGUAUGGUUUCUAUCUUCUAGGGGGAAUUAGAAUAUAAUAAGAACUAACUUUUGUACGAAAGGAACAAGAAGAAUUUAAUUUGUAAAAGGGUUAAAUAAUAGUUACUAACCUAUGGUUUACCUGUUGUCUAUGUGCCCAAAUAUUAAAAUAUAUAUGGAGGAAGCUCCUUAAGAGCUUCCCCCGCAAAUUAUAUAUAUCUGUAUAGCUAGCCUGCGGACUCCGGUUAUGCCUGAGUUUGGCAAGCUAAAGCUAUACAUAGGGAUGUUUCUUUCACUAAGAUAAAUAUAUAGCAUAGGCACGGCAGGAAAGCUAAGUUGGUUAAGGAUAAGUGCUGAAAGCAUAUAGGCACGAAGCUUAUCUUAAGAUAUUUCUUAAAUAUACGUAAAAUAUUAUUACGAAGGAUGUAAUAUAGGCUUUAUCCGUACGAAUCAGGAGAUUUUUAAGAAUAAAGUACUAAUUUUAUAAAUAACUAUUUAU